CUGCUGAAGAAGAUGAGCUCCAGUGACACCCCCCUGGGCACGGUGGCGCUGCUGCAGGAGAAGCAGCGGGCGCAGAAGACGCCGUACAUCGUCCUGAGCGGCUCCGGGAAGAGCAUGAACGCGAACACCAUCACCAAGUGAGGGGCACGGGGACACCUGGGGACACUUUGGGGACACCCCUGGACACCCCGGGGACACCCCGGGGACCCCCUGGGGACAUUUUUGGGACCCCCUGGGGACACCCCUGGGGACACUUUUGGGACAGCCCUGCCCCCGCUCCCGCCCCUGGGGACAAUAAACGCCUCCGGAGUCACUUUGUGUCACCGCGUGUCACUGAGGGGGGAGGGGACACACGGCGCCACCCCCGCAGUGCCACCAGCCCUUUAUUGGGGACUGUCCCCAUGUCCCCUGUCCCCAGUGUCCCCACUGUCCUUGUCCCCAGUGUCCCUGCUCCUGGCCGUGUCACUCCUGGUGUCCUUGGUGUGGCGCUGGCGCUCCCCGCUGUCACCGGUGUCACCAUCGCUGUCACCAUCGCUGUCACCAUCGCUGUCACCAUCAUUGUCACCAUCGCUGUCACCAUCAUUGUCACCAUCAUUGUCACCAUCGCUGUCCCCGGUGUCCUCCUCGUCCUCGUCGCUGUCCCCGCCGUUGUCCCCAUCGUGCUCGUUGUCCCCGUCGUUGUCCCCGUCGCUGUCCCCCGUGUCCUACAGUGACACAGUGACAGUGA
rnacentral:lncRNA from 12 species